UACGCUGUUGUUGGUGAUGGAACUCGCUUCCUGAGCUGACGACAGCCGCAGAAACCAGGCCGCUGCAACUGUUUAUUAAAAACAUAGCACUCUGCAAACACGAAAGUGGACGUAUAGGGUGUGAUGCCUGCCCGGUGCUGGAAGGUUAAUUGAUGGGGUUAGCGUAAGCGAAGCUCUUGAUCGAAGCCCCAGUAAACGGCGGCCGUAACUAUAACGGUCCUAAGGUAGCGAAAUUCCUUGUCGGGUAAGUUCCGACCUGCACGAAUGGCAUAAUGAUGGCGGCGCUGUCUCCAGCAGAGGCUCAGUGAAAUCGAAAUCGCUGUGAAGAUGCAGUGUACCCGCGGCUAGACGGAAAGACCCCGUGAACCUUUACUGCAGCUUGACACUGAACUUUGACCUUACUUGUGUAGGAUAGGUGGGAGGCUUUGAAGCUGGAACGCUAGUUCCAGUGGAGCCGUCCUUGAAAUACCACCCUGGUAAUGUUGAGGUUCUAACUCUGUCCCGUGAUCCGGGACGAGGACCGUGUCUGGUGGGUAGUUUGACUGGGGCGGUCUCCUCCUAAAGAGUAACGGAGGAGUACGAAGGUGCGCUCAGCGUGGUCGGAAAUCACGCGUAGAGUAUAAAGGCAAAAGCGCGCUUAACUGCGAGACCCACAAGUCGAGCAGGUACGAAAGUAGGUCUUAGUGAUCCGGUGGUUCUGUAUGGAAGGGCCAUCGCUCAACGGAUAAAAGGUACUCUGGGGAUAACAGGCUGAUACCGCCCAAGAGUUCAUAUCGACGGCGGUGUUUGGCACCUCGAUGUCGGCUCAUCUCAUCCUGGGGCUGAAGCAGGUCCCAAGGGUAUGGCUGUUCGCCAUUUAAAGAGGUACGCGAGCUGGGUUUAGAACGUCGUGAGACAGUUCGGUCCCUAUCUACCGUGGGCGCUGGAAAUUUGAGAGGAUCUGCUCCUAGUACGAGAGGACCAGAGUGGACGAACCUCUGGUGUACCGGUUGUGACGCCAGUCGCAUCGCCGGGUAGCUAUGUUCGGAAGGGAUAACCGCUGAAAGCAUCUAAGCGGGAAGCCUACCUCAAGAUAAGAUUUCCCUAGGACUUUAUGUCCUCUAAAGAGCCGUUCGAGACUAGGACGUUGAUAGGUUGGAUGUGGAAGCAUAGUGAUAUGUGAAGCUGACCAAUACUAAUUGCUCGUGAGGCUUGACUAU
rnacentral:rRNA from 1 species